CCCUUUCUGGUUGAUCCUGCCGGAGGUCACCGCUAUUGGGAUUCGAUUAAGCCAUGCGAGUCGAGAGGGUUCGGCCCUCGGCAGACUGCUCAGUAACACGUGGAUAAUCUGCCCUUAGGUGGAGGAUAAUCUCGGGAAACUGAGGAUAAUACUCCAUAGAUCUAAGAUGCUGGAAUGCACUUAGAUUAAAAGUUCCGGCGCCUAAGGAUGAGUCUGCGGACUAUCAGGUUGUAGUCAGGGUAAGGACCUGACUAGCCUACAACGGAUACGGGUUGUGAGAGCAAUAACCCGGAGACGAUAUCUGAGACACGAUAUCGGGCCCUACGGGGCGCAGCAGGCGCGAAACCUUCACACUGUGCGAAAGCGCGAUGAGGGGAUCCCAAGUGCUUGCACGUAAGUGUAAGCUGUUUCUUUGUUUAAAACGCAGAGAGAGGAAGGGCUGGGUAAGACGGGUGCCAGCCGCCGCGGUAAUACCUGCAGCUCGAGUGGUGACCGCUAUUAUUGGGCCUAAAACGUCCGUAGCCGGCUGAGUAAAUGCUUGGGUAAAUCGUGCCGCUUAACGGUACGAAUUCCGGGUAAACUGCUCAGCUUGAGAUCGGGAGAAGCUAGAGGUACUCCUGGGGUAGAGGUGAAAUUCUGUAAUCCUGGGGGGACCACCAGUGGCGAAGGCGUCUAGCUAGAACGAGUCUGACGGUCAGGGACGAAACCCUGGGGCGCAAACCGGAUUAGAUACCCGGGUAGUCCAGGGCGCAAACGCUGCUUGCUUGAUGUUAGCUGGGCUCCGAGCUCAGCUAGUGUCGGAGAGAAGUUGUUAAGCAAGCUGCCUGGGAAGUACGAUCGCAAGAUUGAAACUUAAAGGAAUUGGCGGGGGAGCACAGCAACGGGAGGAGCGUGCGGUUUAAUUGGAUUCAACGCCGGG
rnacentral:rRNA from 1 species